GAAUGGGGAAACCCACCCGCUUGCGGGUAUCCUGCAGUGAAUACAUAGCUGCUGGAAGCGAACCUGGUGAACUGAAAUAUCUAAGUAACCAGAGGAAAAGAAAUCAACCGAGAUUCCGUAAGUAGCGACGAGCGAACGCGGACUAGCCCUUAAGCUGAUUUGGUUCUAGGAAAACACUCUGGAAAGAGUGGCCAUAGAAGGUGAUAGCCCUGUAUCUGAAAGGGCCAUUUCAGUGAAGACGAGUAGGGCGGGGCACGUGAAACCCUGUCUGAACAUGGGGGGACCAUCCUCCAAGGCUAAAUACUACUGACCGACCGAUAGUGAACCAGUACCGUGAGGGAAAGGCGAAAAAGAACCCCGGAGAGGGGAGUGAAAUAGAACCUGAAACCGUGUGCGUACAAGCAGUAGGAGCUCCGCAAGGAGUGACUGCGUACCUUUU
rnacentral:rRNA from 1 species